CCCCGAGUGUCGGGGUCCGAGCUUCACCCCGAGGCUGCGGGCCCUGCGCAGCUCCCACCCCGGAGAAGCCCGCGGGGAUUUGGAUCCGGUUUUACUUUCAGUUUGGGUUCAAUUCCUGGUAGUGGGAAGGGCGGGGAGGACGAGACUGACCUCGGGGCGGGUCAGGGUCUCACACCCUCCAGUUGAUGUUGGGCUGUGACAUGGGACCGGACGGCCGCCUCCUCCGCGGUUAUUACCAGUUCGCUUACGACGGAACCGACUACCUCGCCCUGAACAAGGACCUGCGCUCCUGGACCGCGGCCGACACCGCAGCUCAGAUCACCCGGCGCCAAGUGGGAGGAGGCCCGUGAGGCUGAGCGAUACAGGAACAUCCUGGAGGGCAGGUGCCUGGAGUGGCUGCGCAGAUUCCUGGAGAUGGGGAAGGAGGUGCUGCAGCGCGCAGGUGGAAAAGGAGGGAGCUAUUCUCAGGCUGCCAGCAGCGAUAGUGCCCAGGGCUCUGAUGUAUCUCUCACAGCUUGUAAAGCGUGAGGCACUUGUCCGGGACUGAGUGAUGAGAGAUUUGUUCACGCUCCUACUUUGUGAUUCAAGAACCUCUGGUUACUUUCUGCAAACAGCAUCUGAAUGUGUGUGUUCCUAUCAGCAUAACGUGAGGAGGUGGGAGGCUGGCCCACCCCUGCCCACCACACCCCCUCCCCAGCCUUUCCUGUCCAGUAGAGGUGGGGCUGGCCGUCCCCAUUCCUGUUUUUACUGCCUGGUACGCUCAGCUGCAGCUUCUUACUGCCUGAUUAAAAUAAGAGUCUGGAUUUGCAUUCUUCUUCACUUCUUGCCAUGAAGGGGUGAUGGGUUCCUUAAAGGAGAACAGCCCGGCUGGUGUGCCUCAGUGGCUGAGUGUCCACCCAGGAACCAGGAGGUCAUGGUUGGAUUCCCUUUCAGGGCAUAUGCCCAGACUUCAGCUCAGUUCCCACCAGGGUCAUGCAUGUGAAGCCAAUGGAUGUUUCUCUUUCAUCAUUGAUGUUUCAAUCCGUCUCUCCCUCUUCUUUCCUCUCUCUUUGAAAAUUAAUAAAAACAUAUUUUUGAAAAAAAUUAAAGGAGAAGAUCCUAAAAUUUGAGAGGAAAUAAAUGGAAGCCCCAAGAACUGGUCAGGACCUGUGUGUUUGCUGUGCUGAGGCUGUUGCAGGGGAGACAGGAGAGGCUGUGAGGACCGAGUGUGGUCAGGGCUGUGCCCAGUUGGCUCCCUGGUCUCUUCAGCUGGGUCACCUCUCUGCUCCUUUGUUCUUCUCACUUCAGGAGAACCUUGUCCCACCAGGACUUUCCAUAACAGGGACUCAAACCUCUCCAGGCCUUGUAAAUUGUCCUAAUGAGGAACAUCUCCAAACCAGUGGGCAGCAAGGCCUUCCUGUGACUGGGUCAGCCUAGGCUCAGGCCUGGGUCCUGCCCUCAGCCCUCAGCCUCUGGGACUUAUUUGUUGUUUCUUUGUUUGUGUAGAGGAUUGUGCCUUUUUCGUUCUUGUUUUGAGUUUUGGUCUCAUCCUUCUUUUGAGUGUCCCCUAUCCAGCAUCAGCCAGAGGUGAGUUGUCUGUCAUUGUGCCCACAAGGCUCAGGGGUCCCUGCACAUAAGAGUCCAUGGUAU